UUCCAAACAAUUUUUAAACCCUCCCUCGUAUUUCUGAAUUUUGUGUGCCUGGAAAGUUGCACAAAACAUGUUGCUUCAGGGCUGCACCUAAUUAUAUUGGGCAUCCAGAAAUAGGUGCAUCUGACUCAGAAUUUCUGCAUGCUUUGCCAACCAAUCAAACCAUAAGAAAUGCAAACUAUGCUUAAAUUAAGCAAUAAAACACUGCAAGUUGCAAGUUGUAACGUAUUAGCAUACACCACACUGCAAGGAAGAACUCCACAACAGGAAACAGCUUCAAAGUAUAUUUGUACCCAGAACUGCUGAGAGUAUCUUCACAACUGUGACUUUACACAACUUAGAGUCACACAACCAACUAUUCCACACUGAAUAUUACAGAACAGGACUAAGCAUCAAAUGAGGGAUACAAGAGCUGGCAGUCUUACUUGCUAUGUCUUUGUGGAAGACAAAGGUUUGUUUUAAUAAGCAUGUAUUGAAUGAUUCAGUGCAGAACUGAAACAGCAAGCACAGUGGACUCAGCCUAUCUGGACACCUACCUGCCUUGAUAUAUCUAUCAAUUUUAAACACCUGUCAUCCAGACAUGUGGUUGGGAUAUAUCAAAGAGAAAAACAUACACAGAUUCAUCAACCAAAAGCUGAAUAAGUCACUUGAGGGCAUGCACACUUACUGUAAAUAACCAUAGCUGCACCUGAAGUGUAAUGGAACCUCCUUGAAGAAGAAAUAUUAUUAACAUUUCCAGUAAGAGUGGCCAAAGGCACCAGAAAGGCCUGUUGAAGUGAGGUGGGAGCUGGUAUCUCCUUCCAAGCAACAAGCAAUCGAGCAAGAGGAAGUGGCCUCAAGAUGUGCCAGGGGAGGUUUAGACUGGAUAUUAGGAAAAAUUUCUUCACAGAAAGGAUUGUCAAGCAUUGGAACAGGCUGCUCAGGGAAGUUAUUCACUUCCCAUCCCUAGAGGAAUUUAAAAGACCUGUGGUAGAUAUGGAACUCAGGGAUGUGGUUCAGUGGUGGAUUUAGCAGUGUUAGAUUUACAACUGGAGUCUAUGAUCUUACACACCUUUACCAACCUGAAUGAUUCUGUGAUUUGAUGCUCCUAAAUUCUCAGGACUACAUUCAGAAGAGUCUGAAGGACAGGACUAAGAAAAACCCUCUCACUGCCAGCAUAAGCUCUUCCUUCUUCCGUCCCUGUUGCACAGACACCAGCAAGCAGCUCGUUCCCACACGGGUUUACAUUUCCUGCCAUCUAUACAGAUCGUUCUCACAGAGCUGCAAAGAGCAAGACUGUGCUCCUUCCUGUGGCAAUGAUUAUUGCAUGUGAAUAAACCUGACUCUACAGAUAGAUAUCAACUGCAGAGGGAUGUGAACAGAAAAAGAGACUUCUUUCCUCCUAAUGAAUUUAGAGACUUCUUCUGACCUCAGUCAGCAUAACUUUCUUGGAUGUAAAAGAGUUUUUCAAGCUGAUGAAUUUACUGUGUGAUUUUUUUCUGGAAACAUGGAAAUUUCAUUUUCUCCAGUGCUGGGCUACCUGAUGGGAAAGGGACAUCACCUGCUUACCAGGCUGGCAGUAGUGUGGAUAUCACAGCAGCCUCAUCAAGCCAGCUUCAACUGAGCCAUCACCUGUCAUCUCUACUGUGACAGGGCAGUUCCACUGUUAAAAAGAUGCACUUACAGAGACUUUUCUCACAGAGAGAGUGGCCUACAUUUUCAAACUCACUGCCAAGGAUCAGUGGCUCUCCAUCUCCACCACCUACAGAAAUGCAUCCAAAGCACUAUUUCAUCCUAAUUUUCCCACAAAAGACCCUCUCAAGUAUGUCAGGACUCUCACCCAUAUUCAGAAAGGGCCAGCAGUAACUUUUAAGUGCACUCCUGUCACGAGAGCUUCAAAGGGAAAGAUUUGUGCAUUUACUUCCAGAUACCAUAGUUACGGAUGAGCUUAGGCCACAUAAAGGAAUUAAAUGUAAUGCCCUAGGAGAAGUUAGAUGCUAUUUCUGACUGAAUGGCUUCAAGAGUGUGUGCAAUUGUUCUAAUCUAUGAGACAAGUGAAAUAGGAAGUAUCUGAAUGUGUUCGGUAGCGUUUUUUUUUCUCAAAGCAUAAAGUUUUUAUUCUCUUGGUUUGAUGAUAUUUGACUCCUGGCACCAACCUGUCCCUUCCAUAUGGUAUCAGGUAUGACUGCAAUAAAAGAAUCAAAACUCUACAGAAAUCUCAAAAGGCAUUAAUAUGUUUGCUUGGUCAAACUAUGGAGUCUCAAAGCAAGAAGGAAGCCAAGACAAACAGGAAUAUAUUGCUUAAAUCAAGACGUAGGCAGGUACUGAACUUCCUUUCUUCAUUAUUUCUAAUCAGUUUAAGAGCAUGAUUCAUUUGUUAAACUUCAUUCUGUACAAGUGGGGAGAAAAAAAAAGUGAAUUACCCAUUGAAUGCACAAUAGAAUAAUGAAAGGAAGCUGCAGGUACUUCAUGCUUUUGAAAAUUAUUCACUCUUCAAGAAAAUGCAUAGAGACAUAUUUAUGUCCAUCUCUGUUAAGGAAAACACACACAUUUAUGUCUGAAGAUUUUCUUGGAUGAAUUCCAAAGAGAAAAUUUCAGAUAAGCCUGGCUGGAGGACUGUGCCCACCUCUGCAUCACUGGACCAGACUAUAUAUAUUAAGAAAUAAUCACAUAGUCUUUCAAGCAGAAGACACUGUCUGAGACUACACUUCAGUGCCCCAAGUGAUGAACAUUUUGCUGAGCUUCCUGUAACGCAAUUACACUGCAAAUCAGAUAGCUAUCACAAGAUAAAUCUAAUACUCAACAGAAAAUUGAAAAUAUUUCUUGAUUAGGUGCAGCUGACCUAUAAGACAGCCUUUGAACUUUUAAUUAAUAUCUUUAAAGGAAGGAGGGUUUUGCACAUGAAAGGGCAACUCCUUAAAAUUAUUUUGCAAUUGAUAAAAUGAACAGUUCAAGAAUUUUCUGCCUUAACUGACCUGUGGUGGCAAUCACUUGGGUAAUCUACAUCUGCUCUCUUAUGGAAAGUCUGCAAAACCAACUUACAAAAAGAAAUAAAAAAUAUUGCAGAGAAAACAAGGAGAAAAAAGAAUUGCAAGUUCCCCCAAAUUCAGUACCUUUUAUAUAACACAUGGUUACAAGUGACUUUUGAUGCACCAGCAUUAACUUAAAAAACCAAGAAUGCAUGUAUUAUGUCAAUGUUUUGAGAAAUGGUAUGGGUGUUAAUGUUAAUGAGAAAAAGCAACAUUUAUUGUGAAAUAAAAACAUCUGCCUCAUUAGGAAUAACAUAGUAAAUUAUGUCUACUAUGUAUACACGUUAAAGA